UUACGGCCACAUCACGUUGAAACACAGGUUCCCAGUAUGAUUACCGAAGUUAACCAACGUUGAUCCUGGUCACUACCUAGAUGGGUGACUGCUUGGGAAUACCAGGUGCUGUAAG
rnacentral:rRNA from 1 species